rnacentral:lncRNA from 1 species
UGAAAUUUACCUCGAUCGACGGUCGGAAAACUCCUCGGUGCGGCGGCGGGUGGCGGCGGCCGGCUCCUCCGGCGUCUGGUUCGUCUUCUCCGGCGAGGGCAGGCGGCUAGGAUUUUUGUGGUUAGGUGUGGGGGUUCUAUUUAUACCCUUUUGCCUUUUGAUCUCAACCGUCCAUUUUGAUUAAAUAUGACCCGUCCGUUUUUGAUUGAAUCUGGGCCGUCCGUGCGCGUGCAU